GGACGUGAGGGUGAUCUGACUGCAACUUCUGUCACCCCAUUGAUCAUCAGGGUUGAUUUGGCUGAUCUGUCUGGCUAGCCGGGUAUCCCCUUCCUCCCUCACCGCUCCAUGUGUGUCCUAUCCCAAGAUGUGCGCUCGGUGGAAGAGGAUGACAUCUCAGGUAUAGGAUGACAUCUCAAGAGU
rnacentral:snRNA from 1 species